rnacentral:rRNA from 1 species
UACGUAGGGCGCAAGCGUUGUCCGGAAUUAUUGGGCGUAAAGAGCUCGAAGGCGGUCUGUUACGUCCGCUGUGAAAACCCAGGGCUUAACCCUGGGCUUGCAGUGGAUACGGGUAGACUAGAGGCAGGUAGGGGAGAAUGGAAUUCCCGGUGUAGCGGUGAAAUGCGCAGAUAUCGGGAGGAACACCGGUGGCGAAGGCGGCUUCCUGGCCUGUAACUGACGCUGAGACGCGAAAGCGUGGGGAGCGAACCGG